AAAAACGUCAUCGCUACAAGAAGGUGAA
rnacentral:sRNA from 1 species